CAGGGGAGAUGUGGAUUUCAGUGCCAAGAGGCCUUCACAGAGAUCACCACAUCCUCAGCUCCCUCCUGAUUGAAUUGAGGAAGCUCCGUUGAUCAUAAUGGCAGCCACGUGAGAAAGGUGGGCUCUCUGAGAGCCACCCCCCAAACCAGUUCAGGCUUCAAAGGUCAAAACCAUCCCUCUGAAUUCCACAGCAGCUCCCUAGCCACAAGGAGGUUCAAUUCAUAGGUUAGUUCCAUGCUGGAGCUGGGGAACAACCCGGCACACUGAACAGUCUGAACAGAGGACUUGACAAGAAGACAAAGGAGAAAUUGUUCAGUUUAGAGUGCCGUUGUCACCGGUCAAGCCUGCACACGUAUUUUGUUACUGAUUUGAAAUCUUCAGUGGUUUGGACCAAACCCGUAAGUUCACUGCUCAGAAUCCGACAGUAUCCAGAGGCCAAGUUCCUGAUGGCAGAAUGAUUCCAAAAGAAUGUUCUAGAGGGGACCAGGGUUCUGUUAUCUUCCCUACUGCAGGCACCAAGAGGAGAGUGCUAGGCUACCGCAGGUCUCACGCAAAGUGAAAACCAAAACGCUUUGGAAUUUUUCCAAAAAAAGAGACAAGAUGAGCCAGUUUCCUGAUCUGCAGCAGGGACUGGAACCUGGUUUGCCCAAAUCCCAGCUCUGUUGCUGUAUUAUUCAACUGUGGAAAGGAUCCUGAGAGAUAAGGCUGCUGUGCGAACGUUUAUCUGCGUGGAAAAUGCAAGAUAACUCCAGGUGUUAAGAGUUUUAAUAAUAUCUCAAGUCAACAAUGAGUCCAAGUUCAA